AUACUUACCUGUCAGGGAAGAUACCAUGAUCACAAAGGUGUUUUUCCCAGGGCGAGUCUUAUCCAUUGCACUCUGGAUGAGCUGAUCCCUGUGAUUCCCCCAAAUUCCGGAACUCAGCUGCAUUAUGUGUGGUAGUGAGGGAUUGUGUUCCCACUUUCCCCUG
ensembl:snRNA U1 U1 spliceosomal RNA